GGCGGUGUAGCUCAGUUGGUAGAGCAGGGGUUUCAUAAGCCCCGUGUCCGUGGUUCGAUCCCACGCACCGCCA
rnacentral:tRNA from 1 species